rnacentral:rRNA from 1 species
GACGAACGCUGGCGGCGUGCCUAAUACAUGCAAGUAGGACGCAGUUGCGAACGGGUGAGUAACGCGUAGGUAACUGCCUAUUAGAGGGGGAUAACUAUUGGAAACGAUAGCUAAUACCGCCUACUAGUAGAUGGACCUGCGUUGUAUUAGCUAGUAGGUAGGGUAAUGGCCUACCUAGGCGACGAUACAUAGCCGACCGUAGAGGGUGAUCGGGCAAACUGGGAAUGGGACACGGCCCAGACUCCUUAGGGAGGCAGCAGUAGGGAAUCUUCGGCAAUGGGGUGAACCCUUACCGAGCAACGCCGGGUGAGUGAAAGAGGUUUUCGGAUCUUAAAGCUCUGUUGUGAAGGAAGCGGUACUUAACCAGAAAGGGACGGCUAACUACGUGCCAGCAGCCGCGGUAAUAC